UCCGUAGCUAAAUAGUAGUUAAAAUAUGUUGAAUUUUUUGUUUUAUUUUUUAAAUUAGAUUUCCGUUGUUAAAGAGUCGUUAAUAUUUAUCUAAAUAGUUCUCUGCAUCUUCUCUAGUUUAGCUCACGCCCCCUUUGCCGUCUAUCUCUGAAAUAAGCUCCCGCGCCGUCGUUCUCCCCGCCGCGCGCUUCGAUCUCCGCCGUCUUCUCCGCCGCCCGCUCCGAUAUCCGCCGUCUAUCUCUGCAUCUUCUCCCCAUCGUCGCCUUCAGUUGCUGCUGCCAUUCCUGGAACAAUGAGAGAACGUCGGCGCCAAGAACGUGAAGCAGCCUCUACCGGAACUGUUGGAUCAUCUUAGUCAAUAAGUUAGAACAACUUUAGAGGAAAUUAGACAAUUGUGCUCAUAUCUUGUUGAUUUGAAAAGAGCUUCCGCUGAAGAAAUGUGCCGAAGUGUUUAUGCAAAUUAUACAGCUUUUAUUCGGUUGGAAAAGAAUGCCAAUUCAACGAUUCCAUCUAUUCCUGGUUGGCAGGGAAGAUAGCAACUGAGCUUCCGUAAUUUCUUUGAUUUCGAAGACUAAAGAUAUCCACUCCCUCUUUUUUCUCUUUUAGAACGAACAUUUGAAAUAAAGAGUCUUGUCCUGUGCCCGUUUGCUAAUUGCUAGCUGCUGUGCAAUCGUCGUUGUGCUCUUACAUCAUUGUGUCCAGGAAAUAUGAGUUUUGAUCGAGGGUGGAUGUAUAGAUGUGUUGCGAACGGAAGUCUUACCCAGGAGUUCGUUGAGGGUGUUGAAAUCUUUGUUCAUUAUGCAUUGUCAAUUGGAAGAGUUUGUCGCCCAGCACCAUAGACAUAUAUUAUGAUGAGUUUAAGAAAUCUUUUACAUGGGAUGGGGAAGUUUACAGCUCGGAUGUCAUUCGUAAGACAUGGAUCUCACAAGCUAGGCAUGCUUAUAAAGAUUUUGUCCAUGGAUGUAAGGUUAUUAUCGAUGAAGGGAGCAGACCUCAAUUUCUUCAUAAAGACAUUGUUACAAAGUGGAAGGAAUAUUGGACGACACCUGAAUUCCAAGUUAAGUCGCAGCAGGCGAGCAAGAAUCGUCGAUCUGAGCCUGCUGGUCCAGGUACAGGAUUAUCUAUCCACUAUGGAGGCUCUCGCAGACUCGCAGUGCUAUUAGUCAUGCUGAGCAUGUGGCUCGAGAGAAGAACAUUUCUAUCGCAGAUGCACAUUAUGAUACUUUCAUGAGGAUGCACUUUAAGAAAGGACAGUUCUAUGGACGGGCACAGACUCAGGGUCUUGAGAUACAUAGUCGAGUCGAGGAAUUACGCUCUACUCUUGGACGAGAUGUCACUCCAGAUGAGGUCAGUCAGAUCUAUAGGGAGGUGGUGACGCCAGAUCCGAAGGGGCGUAGACUCGGAUUGGGCAUUAUGUCUCAGAUGCGUUCCACUGGUUCGACGAGCACUCAUUCGACGUGCUCGUCUCAAUUUCCUUCAGCAGCAGUCUCAGCUCAGAUUGCACAGCUCCAGACAGAGUUAGAGCAGACACAACAGAGAGAGGCUACUCUACAAGCUACUCUACAGGCUGAGGUGCAGGAGCGACGACGAAAAGAAGCAGAAAUGGAGGCUGAGGUGCAGGAGAGACGACGAAAAGAAGCAGAAAUGGAGACUAGGCAGUUGGAAAUGCAACAACAAAUUUCUCAGCUUAUGAAAUUCUUCCAAUCAUCCUCAGGGUCGUUCCCCCGUUCCUCGUCUCCACCCUAAAUACAUGUUUUGUACUUAUUAUAUAUUGUUAUUAGAUUUUUAUUUAGAUGUUUAUGAAUUUAUUACACUAACAUGUAUCCUUUAUGAUAUUUUAUUAGUUUGAUUUU